rnacentral:rRNA from 1 species
AGUAAAAGUCGUAACAAGGUCUCCGUUGGUGAACCAGCGGAGGGAUCAUUACCGAGUUUACAACUCCCAAACCCCUGUGAACAUACCUAUCGUUGCUUCGGCGGGACCGCCCCGGGCCUUCGUGCUCGGAACCAGGCGCCCGCCGGGGACCACAAACUCUUGUAUUUUUUGGAAUCUUCUGAGUGAAAAAACAAAUGAAUCAAAACUUUCAACAACGGAUCUCUUGGUUCUGGCAUCGAUGAAGAACGCAGCGAAAUGCGAUAAGUAAUGUGAAUUGCAGAAUUCAGUGAAUCAUCGAAUCUUUGAACGCACAUUGCGCCCGCCAGUAUUCUGGCGGGCAUGCCUGUUCGAGCGUCAUUUCAACCCUCAAGCCCCCGGGCUUGGUGUUGGGGACCGGCCACCGCGGAUUCGUCCGCCGGCCGCCCCCUAAAUCUAGUGGCGGUCACGCCGCGGCUUCCUCUGCGUAGUAGCACACCUCGCAGCCGGAUCGCGGUGCGGCCACGCCGUANAACCCCAACUCUGAAAUGUUGACCUCGGAUCANGUAGGAAUACCCGCUGAACUUAAGCAUAUCAAUAAGCGGAGGAAAAGAAACCAACAGGGAUUGCCCUAGUAACGAAGGGCGAAUUCCAG